rnacentral:lncRNA from 1 species
GUUUCUGUGAGGCCAUUCAAAGGGCAUGCUAGAAGCUGGGCUGUGGUUAGAAGUGCUGACGCUUUGCACUCACUAACGUCUAAAAAUGUGAAAUUCCUGCAUUUCAACUCAGCUGGUGGGAAGGAAACUCAAGAUGAAGGCAGUGUGCUCUUAGUUUCUCCCCAAAGGCUUAAGCUCUCUGGAGAAGUAGCUCUAGACGUGAGGAUGGAUGUGGUCUGGUGGCCCUGGUCUUGAAGGAUCCUGGCAUUUGUCUUUUCACUUAUGCUAAGGGUCAUGUUUCCUUAGCCAUCAAGAAGUCUGCAAACAACCCUGGUGUAUAUGUCUGAUGGAGAAGGACUCAAUAGCGAAGGGAAUGAGUUCUCUGGGCUGUGGCACUGCUGAGGAUAUGGACAUCUCUAUGAUGACGAAGUUCUGUAUGGGCUUAGCAAGUGCAUCACAAAGAACUCGGAAGGAAGAAGAGGGGAAUACGGAGGAAAGGCAUGAGAAUGGUGUAAGGGCCUACUCUGCCUGCCAUAAAAGUGUUUACGUAAGCAGCUGGAAGAAGAAGAGGGUUGUGGGUAAGACACAGGCUCCAAAAUCCUUAAUCUUCAUGUUUCAAAGAUUUACAGAAGAGAGUAUCCAGAGACCAAUGAAGAAGAAUAUGGUUUGAGGAUGAUGGGGUUUGCAAAGGCCAAGGACAAAAAAGAAGGUGAAGAAGGAGAGGCCACCACAGCUCUGGAGUCUUCUGAAGUGUCUUUGAAAUGGAUUCCUGCAAAGCUAAUCUGCUCAGUGUCACCUACUGGGUUCAGUGACUAUGAAAAGCUGUCUCCCUAAAGCUUUCCCUUCAGAGAGACAAUGGUCUCUUGGAAUUCCAGAUCCUACAAGGAACCGCACAUUGUGAUCUGAAAAUGAGGUAGACUUAAGUUUGCCAGGCUGAAAGAAGAGCAUAGCUCCCUUGCAAGCUCAUAAACUCUCAUCACUCAGGUCCGUAACGUAAGCACAGGCCUCAGAGGCUAAGAGACUGCUUAUCGGGUUGUCAUGGAAGCAACCAAACAAGCACUUUCUGCAAAGAAAAACCAUCUCCAGGAUGAUCAGCAAACAGAAAUACGGGGCACUGCAAAAAUUAAAUGUCACCAAAUGGUCCUGCGGAUGUGGCAUCGAUAGCUACAGCACUGUCUUCUUCUAGAUGGAUUAGCUCAGUCUAGAACGAUCCUGACUUGCAAGACAUUUCUGACUUCACCUUGACAACAAAGAGUUCUCUUUCCAGUUUGUCCCAUUUGUCAUGGGACAAGUGCAUUUGCUACCCAGCGUGCCCUAGGACUGGCUCAAUAGUUCAACAGAGCUGAAGAACACUGUUUCCCAAAUAAACACCAAGAAUCCAAGGACAUUAUUUUUAAACCUCCAGAAAAGACAUUUUUGCAGGAUAUUUUUCUCAAUCAUGUUUUUUUUUUUCUUUUUGUUUUGGUUUUUUUUUUGAGACAGGGGUGUUACUUUGUAGUUCUGGCUGGCUGGGAACUUACUAUGGUCUCAAAUUAGAGGUGAUACCCCUGACAGAGACAUGGCAGCCAGUGUAAUAAGCACGACUCAUAGAUCUGAGCCAGAACCUGUGGUCUUUCUGAAAGGGUCGUUUGAAUCUUAAAUUCAAAGAAGCUUCAUUGUAAAGACUCUGAAACUUGUAGCAACAAUGACCUGGGGUUUCUUUCUCAAAUACUGCUCCUGCACAGGCAAGGCAGCGCAGACGUCAGCUGUCUCCACUUGACCUUGGCUGUGUCACAGAGCAGUAGUUACUUUAUGAUAAGGCAGUGUCUAUGUGUGGGAGUCCCUGGGAGCAAAAGCAACCUGCUGAAGGAGACAUUACCACUUUGGCCUCUUGUCAGUCUAAGUUGCUUUCUGUUGGAAGCAAGACCUUAGCACCUCAAAACCUCAAAAGCCUUCUUUUUUUCUUUUGCAGUCUUGUUAACUUCACUGUAGUUAUAAUGGUAAAGCACCAUAAAAAAGGACUUUAUGGCUAGAAACAGGAUUCACUGAGGUAUGCCAAAAUGUAAAUUCUUAAGACAUUAUACCAGAGCAUCCAAGUAAAUAAAAAUAAAAUCAGAAUCC